UACGGAGGGGGCAAGCGUUAUUCGGAAUUAUUGGGCGUAAAGGGCGCGUAGGCGGCUAGAUGUGUCAAAGGUGAAAUCCCUCGGCUCAACUGAGGAACUGCCUUUGAAACUGUCUGGCUUGAGGCCGGGAGAGGGUAGCGGAAUUCCCAGUGUAGCGGUGAAAUGCGUAGAUAUUGGGAGGAACACCAAUGGCGAAGGCAGCACUCUGGGACGUGACUGACGCUGAGACGCGAAAGCGUGGGGAGCAAACAGG
rnacentral:rRNA from 1 species